rnacentral:rRNA from 1 species
GCUACGGGUGGCAGCAGUGAGGAAUAUUGGGCAAUGGACGAGAGUCUGAACCAGCCAAGUAGCGUGAAGGAUGACUGCCCUAUGGGUUGUAAACUUCUUUUAUAUGGGAAUAAAAUGUUCCACGUGUGGGAUUUUGCAUGUACCUUAUGAAUAAGGAUCGGCUAACUCCGUGCCAGCAGCCGCGGUAAUACGGAGGAUCCGAGCGUUAUCCGGAUUUAUUGGGGUUAAAGGGUGCGUAGGUGGUUUGUUAAGUCAGUUGUGAAAGUUUGCGGCUCAACCGUAAAAUUGCAGUUGAAACUGGCAGUCUUGAGUACAGUAGAGGUAGGCGGAAUUCGUGGUGUAGCGGUGAAAUGCUUAGAUAUCACGUAGAACUCCGAUUGCGAAGGCAGUUCACUGGACUGCAACUGACACUGAGGCACGAAAGUGUGGGUAGCAAACAGGAUUAGAUACCCUAGUAGUC